GAUACUCGGAAACCGGGGCUAAUACCGGAUAACACAUGAAACCGCAUGGUUUCAUGAUGAAAGACGGUUUUGCUGUCACUUAUAGAUGGACCCGCGGCGUAUUAGCUAGUUGGUAAGGUAACGGCUUACCAAGGCAACGAUACGUAGCCGACCUGAGAGGGUGAUCGGCCACACUGGAACUGAGACACUGUCCAGACUCCUACGGGAGGCAGCAGAU
rnacentral:rRNA from 1 species